GAUGAACGCUGGCGGCGUGCCUAAUACAUGCAAGUCGAGCGAACAGGCGAGGAGCUUGCUCCUCUGACGUUAGCGGCGGACGGGUGAGUAACACGUGGAUAACCUACCUAUAAGACUGGGAUAACUUCGGGAAACCGGAGCUAAUACCGGAUAAUAUAUUGAACCGCAUGGUUCAAUAGUGAAAGACGGUUUUGCUGUCACUUAUAGAUGGAUCCGCGCCGCAUUAGCUAGUUGGUAAGGUAACGGCUUACCAAGGCAACGAUGCGUAGCCGACCUGAGAGGGUGAUCGGCCACACUGGAACUGAGACACGGUCCAGACUCCUACGGGAGGCAGCAGUAGGGAAUCUUCCGCAAUGGGCGAAAGCCUGACGGAGCAACGCCGCGUGAGUGAUGAAGGUCUUCGGAUCGUAAAACUCUGUUAUUAGGGAAGAACAAAAGUGUAAGUAACUAUGCACGUCUUGACGGUACCUAAUCAGAAAGCCACGGCUAACUACGUG
rnacentral:rRNA from 1 species